rnacentral:rRNA from 1 species
UACGUAGGGUGCAAGCGUUAAUCGGAAUUACUGGGCGUAAAGCGUGCGCAGGCGGCUUUGCAAGACAGAUGUGAAAUCCCCGGGCUCAACCCGGGAACUGCAUUUGUGACUGCAUGGCUGGAGUGCGGCAGAGGGGGAUGGAAUUCCGCGUGUAGCAGUGAAAUGCGUAGAUAUGCGGAGGAACACCGAUGGCGAAGGCAAUCCCCUGGGCCUGCACUGACGCUCAUGCACGAAAGCGUGGGGAGCAAACAGG